rnacentral:rRNA from 1 species
AGUGUAAUUUGUAGAGGAUGCUUCGGGUGCGGCGCCGGUCUAAGUCCCUUGGAACAGGACGUCAUAGAGGGUGAGAAUCCCGUAUGUGACCGGUGACCUAGCCCGUGUGAAGCUCCUUCGACGAGUCGAGUUGUUUGGGAAUGCAGCUCUAAAUGGGUGGUAAAUUUCAUCUAAAGCUAAAUACCGGCCGGAGACCGAUAGCGCACAAGUAGAGUGAUCGAAAGAUGAAAAGCACUUUGAAAAGAGAGUUAAAAAGUACGUGAAAUUGUUGAAAGGGAAGCGCUUGCGACCAGACUUGCUCACGGGUGAUCAGCCGUCCUUCUGGGCGGUGCACUCACCCGCGAUCAGGCCAGCAUCGGUCUGGGCGGCCGGAUAAAGGCCCCGGGAAUGUGUCUCCCCCCGGGGAGUGUUAUAGCCCGGGGUGCAAUGCGGCCAGCCUGGACCGAGGACCGCGCUCCGGCUAGGAUGCUGGCGUAAUGGUUGCGAGCGACCCGUCUUGAAACACGGACCAAGGAGUCUAACAUCUAUGCGAGUGUUUGGGUGUUAAACCCACGCGCGGAAUGAAAGUGAACGGAGGUGGGAACCCUCCAGGGUGCACCAUCGACCGAUCCUGAUGUCUUCGGAUGGAUUUGAGUAAGAGCAUAGCUGUUGGGACCCGAAAGAUGGUGAACUAUGCCUGAAUAGGGUGAAGCCAGAGGAAACUCUGGUGGAGGCUCGCAGCGGUUCUGACGUGCAAAUCGAUCGUCAAAUUUGGGUAUAGGGGCGAAAGACUAAUCGAACCA